UACGUAGGGGCCUAGCGUUGUCCGGAAUUAUUGGGCGUAAAGAGCUCGUAGGCGGUUUGUCGCGUCGGAUGUGAAAACCCAGGGCUCAACCCUGGGCCUGCAUUCGAUACGGGCAGACUAGAGUAUGGCAGGGGAGACUGGAAUUCCUGGUGUAGCGGUGAAAUGCGCAGAUAUCAGGAGGAACACCGGUGGCGAAGGCGGGACUCUGGGCCGAUACUGACGCUGAGGAGCGAAAGCGUGGGGAGCAAACAGG
rnacentral:rRNA from 1 species